GACUUAAUCAACCGAGCUUAUGACCCGCGCUUACUGGGAAUUCCUCGUUCAUGGGAAAUAAUUGCAAUCCCCAAUCCCUAUCACGAGUGGGUUUCAGCUUUGCAACCAUACUCCCCCCGGAACCCAAAGACUUUGGUUUCCCGGACACUGCCCGGCGGGUCAUGGGAAUAACGCCGCCGGAUCGCUAGUUGGCAUCGUUUAUGGUCAGAACUACGACGGUAUCUGAACGUCUUUGAACCUCCGACUUUCGUUCUUGAUUAAU